rnacentral:rRNA from 1 species
UAGGGAAUCUUCUGUGUAAUGGGGGCAACCCUGACCGAGCAACGCCGCGUGAGGUUGAAGAAGGUUUUCGGAUCGUAAAGCUCUGUUGUAAGUCAAGAACGAGUGUGAGAGUGGAAAGUUCACACUGUGACGGUAGCUUACCAGAAAGGGACGGCUAACUACGUGCCAGCAGCCGCGGUAAUACGUAGGUCCCGAGCGUUGUCCGGAUUUAUUGGGCGUAAAGCGAGCGCAGGCGGUUUGAUAAGUCUGAAGUUAAAGGCUGUGGCUCAACCAUAGUUCGCUUUGGAAACUGUCAAACUUGAGUGCAGAAGGGGAGAGUGGAAUUCCAUGUGUAGCGGUGAAAUGCGUAGAUAUAUGGAGGAACACCGGUGGCGAAAGCGGCUCUCUGGUCUGUAACUGACGCUGAGGCUCGAAAGCGUGGGGAGCGAACAGGAUUAGAUACCCUGGUAGUCCACGCCGUAAACGAUGAGUGCUAGGUGUUGGAUCCUUUUCCCGGGAUUCAGUGCCGCAGCUAAACGCAUUUAAGCACUCCGCCCUGGGGAGUACGACCCGCAAGGUUG